GACGAACGCUGGCGGCGUGCUUAACACAUGCGAGUCGAACGAUGAUGCCAGCUUGCUGGUGGAUUAGUGGCGCACGGGUGAGUAACACGUGAGCAACCUGCCCCUGACUUCGGGAUAACCGCGGGAAACCGUGGCUAAUACCGGAUAUGACGCGCUAUCGCAUGGUGGUGUGUGGAAAGAUUUAUCGGUUGGGGAUGGGCUCGCGGCCUAUCAGCUUGUUGGUGGGGUGAUGGCCUACCAAGGCGACGACGGGUAGCCGGCCUGAGAGGGUGACCGGCCACACUGGGACUGAGACACGGCCCAGACUCCUACGGGAGGCAGCAGUGGGGAAUAUUGCACAAUGGGCGCAAGCCUGAUGCAGCGACGCCGCGUGAGGGAUGACGGCCUUCGGGUUGUAAACCUCUUUCAGUAGGGAAGAAGGCCUUCGGGUUGACGGUACCUGCAGAAGAAGCGCCGGCUAACUACGUG
rnacentral:rRNA from 1 species